UGAAGACUGUUAUAAGGUAAAAUAAUACAGUGUAAUACAUGUAUGGAAGGAACAUGCAGUAAUUGUUGUGUAUUAUACUGUUAAGAGGGGAGAACAAUGAUGUGAGAUCGCACAUGUGCCAGUUUCCACGUGAUUGAUAAUCCAGAGUCUCAUAUAAGAGCACAUAUAGGCCACUGCCAUUGUUUUGUACACCUUUAUUGGUUGUUUAACAUUGGUUGCAUUAUUUCAAGUCAAAUUGUGCUUGUGAUCUGCUGUUUUGAUUAGAGGUUAUUAUUGUAAAGAACUUAUUUUUAUUCUUUACAUUUCUUCUGCUACCUUAUUUCGUUUUCUGCGCCCAUUGAAGUGAAUUGGGUGUUUGCUUUUUGUUAUUCUGUUUUAUACGACUUCUCUUGUUCAACUGGAUCGGAAUCCUGAAAGAACCCUUUUCCCCAAACAAAACAUUAAUGCUGAGUUUCCUUUGAGGCUCAGUCAGGAAUAAAAGAAUCCUUUUUUAUUAGA